GGUUAUGCUAAUAAGAGCGUAUGGUGGAUGCCUUGGCACUAAGAGCCGAUGAAAGACGUGAUAAGCUGCGAAAAGCUUCGGGGAGGAGCAAAUAUCCUGAGAUCCGGAGAUAUCUGAAUGGGGAAACCUACUUGAGAAGACCUCAAGUAUCCACAGCCCAAUCCAUAAGCUGUGGAAGGGAACCCGGUGAACUGAAACAUCUAAGUAGCCGGAGGAAGAGAAAACAACAUGUGAUUCCGUAAGUAGCGGCGAGCGAACGCGGAAGAGCCCAAACCGGAGUGCGUGCACUCCGGGGUUCGGACUGCAGGAUUGACGAGUGAGCCUAGUAGAAUGGUUUUGGGAAAGCCAGCCAGAGAGGGUGAAAGCCCCGUACACGAAAGGCAAGCGAGCAUGGCAGGAUCCAGAGUACCACGAGACACGUGAAACCUUGUGGGAAUGAGCGGGGACCACCCCGUAAGGCUAAAUACUCCUUAGUGACCGAUAGCGCAUAGUACUGUGAAGGAAAGGUGAAAAGGACCCCGGGAGGGGAGUGAAAGAGAACCUGAAACCAUAUGUUUACAAGCUGUGGAACAUCUUUAUAUGAUGAACCGCGUACUUUUUGUAGAACGGUCCGGCGAGUUACGCUGGCUGGCGAGGUUAAGGGCUGAAGGCCUGGAGCCGAAGGGAAACCGAGUCUGAACAGGGCGAAAUAGUCAGUCGGAGUAGACCCGAAACCGGGUGAUCUAUCCAUGUCCAGGUUGAAGUUGCCGUAAAAGGCAAUGGAGGACCGAACCCACAUCCGUUGAAAAGGGUGGGGAUGAGGUGUGGAUAGGGGAGAAAUUCCAAUCGAACCCGGAGAUAGCUGGUUCUCCUCGAAAUAGCUUUAGGGCUAGCCUCAUGCAAGUCUUACGGAGGUAGAGCACUGAAUUCCUAAGGGGGCGUCAAAGCUUACCAAGGGAUAUCAAACUCCGAAUGCCGUGUAGAUGGUGCAUGGGAGUCAGACUAUCCGAGAUAAGUUGGGUAGUCAAAAGGGAAAGAGCCCAGACCUACAGCUAAGGUCCCAAAAUGUGUGUUAAGUGGAAAAGGAUGUGGGAUUUCGAAGACAACUAGGAUGUUGGCUUAGAAGCAGCCAUCCAUUAAAAGAGUGCGUAAUAGCUCACUAGUCGAGAGGUCCUGCGCCGAAAAUGUCCGGGGCUGAAACACACUACCGAAGCUU
rnacentral:rRNA from 1 species